GCACUCAGAACCCCUCCUCACAAACACCAAUCCUUCCUCUGCCUUAAAUAAUAUUGAUAAUAUUCAGAUGAGGAGUGGCCAAUGUAGGGCACCCAGGCUUCCUUUGGAUACUGGCAGAUAUUUUGGCCCCUCAGUUCAUCUUGCACUUCUUUCCAGCACUCACAUAUGCUACUGUGUGUGAUGUUUGACUGAGUCCUACAGUGGGAGAGGCAGAAGUGAUAAUUGAAGCAGCUUGGAGGACAGAAAUUCCAUUCAAGGUAAAGCCCUCAGGUUGUGUGCGCUGUUCCCUGAAAAAGCAACGAAGUGGAUCAGACCCUCCAGGGCAGAGCUGAGGCUGUUUCUGGAGAGUGUGUGGAGGCCAUGGGCUUAAGGGUAGAAGCAAAGGACUGGAGACUGCAGUUCACAGGGAGAAAGUACUGGAAGAUGAGGGACAGAGAAAACCCACACCUGAGAGGCACAAGCUGCACAGAACACAAAGGAUUUGCAAACAGCUGUAAAUGAGUGUGAAAGAAACU
rnacentral:lncRNA from 1 species